AGGAGCCCAGUGCGUUAGUAGCGCACGCUGGGAUCUGUGCGGGGGGCCGCCCGUGAGGGCGGUCCCUACCGCGAU
rnacentral:autocatalytically_spliced_intron from 1 species